rnacentral:rRNA from 1 species
AUUGAACGCUGGCGGCAGGCCUAACACAUGCAAGUCGAGCGGAUGAAGGGAGCUUGCUCCUGGAUUCAGCGGCGGACGGGUGAGUAAUGCCUAGGAAUCUGCCUGGUAGUGGGGGAUAACGUCCGGAAACGGGCGCUAAUACCGCAUACGUCCUGAGGGAGAAAGUGGGGGAUCUUCGGACCUCACGCUAUCAGAUGAGCCUAGGUCGGAUUAGCUAGUUGGUGGGGUAAAGGCCUACCAAGGCGACGAUCCGUAACUGGUCUGAGAGGAUGAUCAGUCACACUGGAACUGAGACACGGUCCAGACUCCCACGGGAGGCCGCAGUGGGGAAUAUUGGACAAUGGGCGAAAGCCUGAUCCAGCCAUGCCGCGUGUGUGAAGAAGGUCUUCGGAUUGUAAAGCACUUUAAGUUGGGAGGAAGGGCAGUAAGUUAAUACCUUGCUGUUUUGACGUUACCAACAGAAUAAGCACCGGCUAACUUCGUG